rnacentral:rRNA from 1 species
AUUGAACGCUGGCGGCAUGCUUUACACAUGCAAGUCGAACGGCAGCGCGGGCUUCGGCCUUGCGGCGAGUGGCGAACGGGUGAGUAAUGCAUCUGAACGUGCCCAGUAGUGGGGGAUAGCCCGGCGAAAGCCGGAUUAAUACCGCAUACGACCUGAGGGUGAAAGCGGGGGACCGAAAGGCCUCGCGCUAUUGGAGCGGCCGAUGUCGGAUUAGCUAGUUGGUGGGGUAAAGGCUUACCAAGGCGACGAUCCGUAGCUGGUCUGAGAGGACGACCAGCCACACUGGGACUGAGACACGGCCCAGACUCCUACGGGAGGCAGCAGUGGGGAAUUUUGGACAAUGGGGGCAACCCUGAUCCAGCCAUGCCGCGUGCGGGAAGAAGGCCUUCGGGUUGUAAACCGCUUUUGUUCGGGAAGAAAUCCUCUGGGCUAAUACCCCGGGGGGAUGACGGUACCGGAAGAAUAAGCACCGGCUAACUACGUG